UGCAGAACACGUGGAGGGUUCAUUUUAGUGCAUCUGAUUGACUAGGCUAUGGCAGAAGUAGAGUCUUUUUUUUUAUUGGCUGGUAGACAAUGUGGGAAAGUACUCUGCUAGAGGAAAGAAGGGACCGCCUGACAAGAGAAGGAGCUGAGCUGGCUGGAGGCUGCAAUUCUCAAAGUGAUCUUAAUUGGGAGGAACCAUGAAGACAGCCACGGGAGCUUUAAUCAUAUUCUCAUGGCUGCAGCUGAACUGGUUCAGCCAAGGAGAGAAGGUGGAGCAACAUCCUUCUACCCUGAGCGUCCAGCAGGGAAGCAGCUCUGUUAUCAAUUGCAGUUAUUCAGACAGUGCCUCAAAUUACUUCCCUUGGUAUAAGCAAGAACUCAGGAAAGGUCCCCAGCUCCUUAUAGACAUUCGUUCAACCAUGGCCACAAAAGAAGACCAAAGACUCACUGUUUUAUUGAAUAAGACGGCCAAACAUCUCUCCCUGCACAUCGCAGACACCCAGCCUGAAGACUCAGCUGUGUACUUCUGCGCAGCAAGCACACAUUGCUUCCCAGGCACCUGCUGCCUGCACUCAAACCUGGGUGUGGGGCAGCCCCCUUGUCCUCUGACACAGACCUUCAAGUUUGCAUUUGUCCUGUUGUUUGUCUGCAAGUGGAAGCUAAUGUGUUAGACAUUAAAAGCAUGUAAGAAGAAGAUUAAGCUCAUGAUGACUUGGACAGAGUUAGAACAUUUUGUUAGAUGACUGUUGCUUAAUGGAUUCUUGAAGGCAGUUAGUAAUGUUUUAUUUUGAAAUUCGGGUUUUAAAGAUGAU